rnacentral:tRNA from 1 species
GCGGGUGUAGUUCAGUGGUAGAACGCCUGCUUCCCAAGCAGGAGAUCGCCGGUUCGAGCCCGGUCACCCGCU